UAUUGAGUUGUGAAAAUGUGUGAAUUUGUGGAUUAAUUAUUGAUUGAAAGGUGAAAAAAUGAUUGAAUUGAAAAUGUGAGAAAUUAUGAUUGAAUUGAGAUUAUAUGUGAUUUAAAUACCCUCUUAACUAGUCGGGCUGAGUCGGAUAUAGUUGGCAUGCCGUAGGAUUAGAAGAGUCGAUGAGACACUGGGUGUCACUAUAUUUCUUCGGAUAGAUUCGAUGAGUUACUGGGUACCAACUUUCUUCGGCUUUGCCGAUGAGACACUGGGUGUCAAUUAUUGCUUCGAAUUGUCCGAUGAGGCACUGGGUGCCAUACUGGUGUGUUUGGUUGGAUCCGUGUAUCCGCCAAAGUCCGAGUUUUGUUAAUAGGGUAAUUAAUGAAAUGAUAAACCGAAUGAGUUGAUCGAACGAGCUACUGAAAUGAAAUGAAAAAGUUGAAUUGUGAAUUGAAAUGUGAUAUGAGAUAGAGG
rnacentral:lncRNA from 1 species